rnacentral:rRNA from 1 species
GACGAACGCUGGCGGCGUGCUUAACACAUGCAAGUCGAACGGAAAGGCCCUGCUUUUGUGGGGUGCUCGAGUGGCGAACGGGUGAGUAACACGUGAGUAACCUGCCCUGGACUUUGGGAUAACUUCAGGAAACUGGGGCUAAUACCGGAUAGGAGCUCCUGCUGCAUGGUGGGGGUUGGAAAGUUUCGGCGGUUGGGGAUGGACUCGCGGCUUAUCAGCUUGUUGGUGGGGUAGUGGCUUACCAAGGCUUUGACGGGUAGCCGGCCUGAGAGGGUGACCGGCCACAUUGGGACUGAGAUACGGCCCAGACUCCUACGGGAGGCAGCAGUGGGGAAUAUUGCACAAUGGGCAGAAGCCUGAUGCAGCAACGCCGCGUGCGGGAUGACGGCCUUCGGGUUGUAAACCGCUUUCGCCUGUGACGAAGCGUGAGUGACGGUAAUGGGUAAAGAAGCACCGGCUAACUACGUG